GAAGGCUGGCUCUCAACAUGACCUAGGUUAUUGGGUUAUCCCCAAGAACAGAACUUGAGUUGCCCUUGGCUGUUCAGUGUGGGGCCAAAAGGGCAGAUUCAAAGAUACUGUACUAGGAAGUAGUUAAAAGCCAGAAGGAAAAAAGAAUGGGAGUAAUAUCAACAAGAUUGAGGCUGAGAUGUUCCAGACAAGAGAGGGUUUGAAACAGAGGGAGGGUAGGAAAUGAAACCCGGAGCAAGUCCUGUACCAAAACAGGGGACUUACAGACUUGCAAUAGUGGUUGCUGCAAGUCUCUGAGGACUCCUGGUCCCUGGACAGGGGCAGGGAGGGAGCAUAACGAGGACAAUGAUCCAGAGAGCACCUCUGGGGGCAGAAGAAAGCACUGGGAAUUCUUAGACCAGGCAACCUUAGGGCCCAAAGGAUUUGAGAAAAUCAAUGCCCACAUCUGCAAAGUUACCGAAGCCCUCACUUUUGCUCCAGCUUACAGGUGAGCUAGUUCACUGUGCCCUUCCAUAGCCCUUCUCAGACCCCUCCCAUGGCAUUUUUCAGGAGGCCUUAGAAUGUAUUUGGGGAAGCACUGGUGCUGGCCCUCCGCUAGACCCUGAGUCUGGGUCUUAAGGAUGUAGAUACUAAAUCUAAUCAGCAAAUUCAUUCCUAUUGCAGUUCCCAGAAAGAACAUAGAAACUUUUCUAUUUCAAGUUGCAUCAACUAAAUCUAUGACUGUUAAACUCAUUUUUAAGUCAAUCAAAGAUCCUUUUUCAUGUAUCUGCAUGGAAUGAAUGGAACUGACCUGGAUAAUUGUUAGCUUGAUGCAGGUAAAUGUGUGUGCACAAAUACAUUUGUUUAUUGGAUUGGUCCAAUGUGGAAUCACUCCAUGGACGACCAUCAUUUGAGCAUCUAUUGUGGUCCAGAUACCAUGUGGGGUGCUUGACACACACUCUCUUUAAUCACUGCAAGAUUUUCAAGGUAAUUUGAUAAGCUAAGAGUUGCUCUUGGUUCUACCUGACUUGAUACUGGUGUGCAGUUUAUUAUGGCAAAUAAC
rnacentral:lncRNA from 1 species